GCUUUUGAUCACAAGAAAUUUAUUGAUCUAUUAUUUUAAUUUUUUUGUUGCUUUUUUUGUUUGUUUUAAUAUUGUGAUGUGAGUUCAGUGCGUGUAUCAAUAUAUUCAUUAUUAUAUUAUUAAAUAUAUAUAAUCGGUCGGUUAUUUGGUAUUCGCUGAAAUGUUAAAAUCGGAUCGCGAAAUCGGAUCGGGGAAUGCAUUUAAAUCGGUCGGUAAAAUCGUAAAAUCGGAUCACGAAAUGCGUUUAAAUCGGAAAUCCCCCAUAAAGAGAAAUUCAUUGAGACCCUGUAGUGCAUUAUUUGCUUGUUGGGCCAAUGAUUGAGCUGUUUCCGGGCAUUUAUUGUCAUAGUAACAUAAUUGUCAGCUCUUAGCAGUGCAUGUGGAGCGACCUCACACAUUGCUAUAUUUGGCAAAUCUCAAGAUCUGCACAAUACUUGCCAUUGCAUAGAGGAAGAAACAACUUCGAGGAAUGUGCUGAAUAAGAACAGAACGAGAUCGAGAGAACAACUCAAUCAAUGCAGCAAAUGCAAACGCUGCCUGGAGAGUUCGUCUUUAAGCCAACUGUCAAAACUGUGUUGGUCAGACAAUUGAGUUGAGUUGAUGACUCAAUGUUUGUCCUUUUAGGCCGCCACCCUGGGCGCAAUAGUCAAAACAAGGAGCAAUUGAAGAAAACAGCAGCGUGCACACACGUGGAUUGUGGAUUGAAUUUACCAUCAUCCAAGUGACAAACAUGUGCAGCCAGACUUCUAGUUUUUGGAGAUGGAGGAGCACGAGAAAUAGUAACAAAAAACAGAUGUUUGCCUUAUGUGUUUGUUUUUUUUUGUCUCUUCGAAAAUUAUGUAAAUGAGUUUCUAGCUCAUGAAUGGAACUCGACAAAAAUCGUCUUUCACAACGGAAUGCUCUUGAUUAUGCGAAGAUCGCUGGGGCUUAGGUUAACCGCAGUCACGACCAAAGCAAAGAAAAUAAUUCCCCGUAUGCUAAGCGGGUUUUUUUGUUGUUGUUGUUGUUGGUUUUUGGAAAGUGUUAAACCCCGCCCCGUUGUUGUACUCCUGCUGAGUGCGGAGUACGAUUGUUGUAACCUGCUGCAGAGACAGAAAGAGCUGAGUGACCUGGUUUAAGCGCUUAAGGACUUAGGCACAAAGCGCACACUUAAGUGCCUCAUUGUCCAGUGAAGUGCAGCCACUCGAGGAUGCUUAAGUUGCGGCUAUAUCGAGCAUACAGCUAUAUCGACUAUAUCGGCUUAGUGCUUAAGCCAUUCACCAAAUCGUUUAAUUGACACCGCAAAACCAACAAAAAGGAUUUCAAACUCAAGAUCAGUUGCAAGACGCAAGGUUUAACUUCGAGCCGAGGCAAACCGCAUUCAUGAAUGAAAACUACUUACAACUUGCGCUUACUACAAAACAAGGCCAAGAUUUCUCUCCGGCUUAAGCGUCUUAGAAAAUUAUGUGUUUUUUUUAGCUGCUGCCAAAAGACAUUAACAAACUGGCGAGCAGAUUAACAGAUCAACUGAAGAUCGGGGCGCGCGAUCAACUGUUUUGGCUGAGAGAUACUACUACAGAUUCGCGCUGUGAUCAGAACCGAUCAGCGAUCAGCGGAUCAACGCAAUUAAAAUGUUAUCGCUGUUUGUUGUUAACGUUGACGAGCCACAGCACAAAGACUUCCUGUGUGCUCCCAGUGAUACACUCUAUCCACAUCGAGGCAUAGGAGCCAAUGUGCUGCAGCUUGUCAGCGAGGAUA